rnacentral:misc_RNA from 1 species
UAAAGUGCGAAAUGUAGUGCAAUCUGCAUGAAUCUGUGAGUCAUUUAAUCUUUGAAUGCAACUUGCGCCCCUCGGGGGCGUGUCUGCUUGAGUGCCACAAACAUACAGUAUGCAGCAAUGCGACGUGACAUUGUCUCGCAGCGGCGGCUGGUUGCGUGGGUGGGAUCACGUCAAGUGUGAACAUGAGCAACGGUGCGCGCGCUAGACUCUGGUUUAAAGUGAGCAAGCUUGCGCAAGUGAUUGGCUAGUCCGAGUGCCAAGCAUUCUUGGGUCUGGCAGGAUCAUGUGCGUGUGCGCGGGGGGAUCUACGCCCCUCGCCAUCUCGUGGUUGGCCUCAAGUCAGGCAAGAUUACCCGCUGAACUUAA